GCAGCUCAAAUUGAUUCAAAUCACGAAACUUUAAUUCCUCAAACUACUCUUCACCAAACUUCGACUCCUGAUGAAACCUGUAAACAGGAAACAACGAAGUAGAAGUAUUUGGCACUGGUUAGAGAGAGAGUUAGUUACAGGUCAAUCCUGCAACAAGGACUAUCUUUUCCUUAGUUUCUGAGAGAGAGAAAAGAAGGGCAUAUAAUAUUCCAACUAGGGGUAUAUAUUAUUGUCCUCCAGAAUAAACUAUGUGAUAAAAGAGGAGUCUUGAUGACACUAGCGGGGUGAUGGUGGGGUUAAAGAAAG